rnacentral:rRNA from 1 species
CCUACGGGAGGCAGCAGUGAGGAAUAUUGGUCAAUGGGCGCGAGCCUGAACCAGCCAAGUAGCGUGAAGGAAGACUGCCCUACGAGUUGUAAACUGCUUUUAUAAAGGAAUAAAGUGAGGCACGUGUGCCUUUUUGUAUGUACCUUAUGAAUAAGGAUCGGCUAACUCCGUGCCAGCAGCCGCGGUAAUACGGAGGAUCCGAGCGUUAUCCGGAUUUAUUGGGUUUAAAGGGAGCGUAGGCGGGCUGUUAAGUCAGUGGUGAAAUUCUGCGGCUCAACUGUGAAAUUGCAACUGAUACUGGUAGUCUAGAGUAUAGUUGAGGUAGGCGGAAUGCGUGGUGUAGCGGUGAAAUGCUUAGAUAUCACGCAGAACCCCGAUUGCGAAGGCAGCUUACCAAGCU